CCUACGGGUGGCAGCAGUGGGGAAUAUUGGGCAAUGGGCGCAAGCCUGACCCAGCAACGCCGCGUGAAGGAAGAAGGCCUUCGGGUUGUAAACUUCCUUUUUCAGGGACGAAGACAGUGACGGUACCUGAUGAAGAAGCCUCGGCGAACUACGUGCCAGCAGUCGUGGUAAUACGGAGGGGGCAAGCGUCAUCCGGAUUCACUGGGUGUAAAGGGGGCGCAGGCGGCGAUGCAAGCCAGGCGGGAAAGGCCGGGGCCCAACCCCGGGACUGCUGUUGGAACUGCGUGGCUGGAGUGCAGGGGGGGCAGGCGGAAUUCGUGGUGUAGCGGUGAAAUGCGUAGAUAUCAGGAGGAACACCGAUGGCGAAGGCGGCCUGCUGGACUGCAACUGACGUUGAGGCCCGAAGGCGUGGGGAGCGAACAGGAUUAGAUACCCCAGUAGUC
rnacentral:rRNA from 1 species